CCUACGGGCGGCAGCAGUGGGGAAUAUUGGGCAAGGGGCGCAAGCCUGACCCAGCAACGCCGCGUGAAGGAAGAAGGCUUUCGGGUUGUAAACUUCUUUUAAGAGGGAAGAGCAGAAGACGGUACCUCUGGAAUAAGCCAGGGCUAACUACGGGCCAGCAGCCGCGGUAAUACGUAGGUGGCAAGCGUUGUCCGGAUUUACUGGGUGUAAAGGGCGUGCAGCCGGGACGACAAGGCCGAUGUGCAAUCCCGCGGCUCAACCGCGGAACUGCAUUUGAAACUGUUUUUCUUGAGUACCGGAGAGGUCAUCGGAAUUCCUUGUGUAGCGGUGACAUGCGUAGAUAUCAGGAAGAACACCAGUGGCGAAGGCGGCUGACUGGACGGCAACUGCCGGUGAGGCGCGACAGCGUGGGGAGCAAACAGGAUUAGCUACCCGUGUAGUC
rnacentral:rRNA from 1 species